AUUGAACGCUGGCGGCAUGCUUUACACAUGCAAGUCGAACGGUAACAGGGUGCUUGCACCGCUGACGAGUGGCGAACGGGUGAGUAAUGCGUCGGAACGUGCCGAGUAGUGGGGGAUAACGCAGCGAAAGUUGUGCUAAUACCGCAUACGUACUGAGGUAGAAAGUGGGGGACCUUCGGGCCUCACGCUAUUCGAGCGGCCGACGUCUGAUUAGCUAGUAGGUGAGGUAAAGGCUCACCUAGGCGACGAUCAGUAGCGGGUCUGAGAGGAUGAUCCGCCACACUGGGACUAGGCCACGGCCCAGACUCCUACGGGAGGCAGCAGUGGGGAAUUUUGGACGAUGGGCGAAAGCCUGAUCCAGCCAUGCCGCGUGUCUGAAGAAGGCCUUCGGGUUGUAAAGGACUUUUGUCAGGGAGGAAAUCCCUAGUGCUAAUAACACUGGGGGAUGACAGUACCUGAAGAAUAAGCACCGGCUAACUACGUGCCAGCCGCCGCAGUAA
rnacentral:rRNA from 1 species